UGGGGAAUAUUGCACAAUGGGCGCAAGCCUGAUGCAGCCAUGCCGCGUGUACGAAGAAGGCCUUCGGGUUGUAAAGUACUUUCAGCGGGGAGGAAGGGAGUAAAGUUAAUACCUUUGCUCAUUGACGUUACCCGCAGAAGAAGCACCGGAUAACUCCGUGCCAGCAGCCGCGGUAAUACGGAGGGUGCAAGCGUUAAUCGGAAUUACUGGGCGUAAAGCGCACGCAGGCGGUUUGUUAAGUCAGAUGUGAAAUCCCCGGGCUCAACCUGGGAACUGCAUCUGAUACUGGCAAGCUUGAGUCUCGUAGAGGGGGGUAGAAUUCCAGGUGUAGCGGUGAAAUGCGUAGAGAUCUGGAGGAAUACCGGUGGCGAAGGCGGCCCCCUGGACGAAGACUGACGCUCAGGUGCGAAAGCGUGGGGAGCAAACAGG
rnacentral:rRNA from 1 species